GAUGAACGCUGGCGGCGUGCCUAAUACAUGCAAGUCGAGCGAACAGACGAGUAGCUUUCUCCUCUGACGUUAGCGGCGGACGGGUGAGUAACACGUGGAUAACCUACCUAUAAGACUGGGAUAACUUCGGGAAACCGGAGCUAAUACCGGAUAAUAUAUUGAACCGCAUGGUUCAAUAGUGAAAGACGGUUUUGCUGUCACUUAUAGAUGGAUCCGCGCCGCAUUAGCUAGUUGGUAAGGUAACGGCUUACCAAGGCAACGAUGCAUAGCCGACCUGAGAGGGUGAUCGGCCACACUGGAACUGAGACACGGUCCAGACUCCUACGGGAGGCAGCAGUAGGGAAGCUUCCGCAAUGGGCGAAAGCCUGACGGAGCAACGCCGCGUGAGUGAUGAAGGUCUUCGGAUCGUAAAACUCUGUUAUUAGGGAAGAACAAAUGUGUAAGUAACUAUGCACGUCUUGACGGUACCUAAUCAGAAAGCCACGGCUAACUACGUG
rnacentral:rRNA from 1 species